rnacentral:rRNA from 1 species
AGCAGCCGCGGUAAUUCCAGCUCCAAUAGCGUAUAUUAAAGUUGUUGCAGUUAAAAAGCUCGUAGUUGAAUUUCGGGGUUAGUAAGUUGGUCGUGCCACUGGUAUGUACUGGCUUUACUGAUUCCUCCUUCUUGUAGAACCGUAAUGCCAUUAAGUUGGUGUUGCGGGGAAACAGGACUGUUACUUUGAAAAAAUUAGAGUGCUUAAAGCAAGCUAACGCUUGAAUACAUUAGCAUGGAAUAAUGAAAUAGGACGUUCGAUCCUAUUUUGUUGGUUUCUAGGAUUGACGUAAUGAUUAAUAGGGAUAGUUGGGGGCAUUAGUAUUCAAUUGUCAGAGGUGAAAUUCUUGGAUUUAUUGAAGACUAACUACUGCGAAAGCAUUUGCCAAGGAUGUUUUCAUUAAUCAAGAACGAAAGUUAGGGGAUCGAAGACGAUCAGAUACCGUCGUAGUCUUAACCAUAAACUAUGCCGACUAGGGAUCGGAUGAUGUUAAUUUAUAAUGACUCAUUCGGCGCCUUAC